GGGCCUGGAGCGCAUGUGCACAGGGAGUGGUGAAAAACGGGGUGGAGCCUGACUGCCGCUGUCAUAGGGUGCUCCAGCUCACGGUGUGUGGAAAGAUUUGCUGCAUUUCUAAAGAAUUUCAGAAAACAAGCUGCAUUUCAGAACCUAAACCAGCAUUUGCUUUUCUUCACUCUGAGGGAGCACACAAGUAUUGAAAUUCUCUGCCACUGGGCACGCCAAGGUGGGAAUUGACUUGCUGCCCAUUGGAGUACAGUUCCACACUGUGAUUCCCUGCUGACACAGCAGGCUGCAGGGCAUUAAGGAUUAAAAGUGCAAACCUGCCCAGGGCCAGU